rnacentral:rRNA from 1 species
UACGUAGGCAGCGAGCGUUGUUCGGAGUUACUGGGCGUAAAGGGUGUGUAGGCGGUUGUUUAAGUUUGGUGUGAAAUCUCCCGGCUCAACUGGGGGGGUGCGCCGAAUACUGAGCGACUAGAGUGCGGGAGAGGAAAGUGGAAUUCCUGGUGUAGCGGUGAAAUGCGUAGAUAUCAGGAGGAACACCGGUGGCGAAGGCGGCUUUCUGGACGGAUACUGACGCUGAGACGCGAAAGCGUGGGGAGCAAACAGG